rnacentral:rRNA from 1 species
GCUCGUAGGUGGUUUGUCGCGUUGUUCGUGAAAACUCACAGCUUAACUGUGGGCGUGCGGGCGAUACGGGCAGACUAGAGUACUGCAGGGGAGACUGGAAUUCCUGGUGUAGCGGUGGAAUGCGCAGAUAUCAGGAGGAACACCGGUGGCGAAGGCGGGUCUCUGGGCAGUAACUGACGCUGAGGAGCGAAAGCGUGGGGAGCGAACAGGAUUAGAUACCCUGGUAGUCCACGCCGUAAACGGUGGGUACUAGGUGUGGGUUCCUUCCUUGGGAUCCGUGCCGUAGCUAACGCAUUAAGUACCCCGCCUGGGGAGUACGGCCGCAAGGCUAAAACUCAAAGGAAUUGACGGGGGCUCGCACAAGCGGCGGAGCAUGUGGAUUAAUUCGAUGCAACGCGAAGAACCUUACCUGGGUUUGACAUGCACAGGACGCCGGCAGAGAUGUCGGUUCCCUUGUGGCCUGUGUGCAGGUGGUGCAUGGCUGUCGUCAGCUCGUGUCGUGAGAUGUUGGGUUAAGUCCCGCAACGAGCGCAACCCUUGUCCUAUGUUGCCAGCGGGUUAUGCCGGGGGACUCGUAGGAGACUGCCGGGGUCAACUCGGAGGAAGGUGGGGAUGACGUCAAGUCAUCAUGCCCCUUAUGUCCAGGGCUUCACACAUGCUACAAUGGCCGGUACAAAGGGCUGCGAUGCCGUGAGGUGGAGCGAAUCCUUUCAAAGCCGGUCUCAGUUCGGAUCGGGGUCUGCAACUCGACCCCGUGAAGUCGGAGUCGCUAGUAAUCGCAGAUCAGCAACGCUGCGGUGA